AUCCCGGUUUGGUAAGUUCACGGGCAACCAAAGCAGGGCGGAAUCGUAAGCGUGCUGCUCACACCAGGUCUCCCUGGCAUUCUCAUGCUCAGAUGACUUCGCUGUUGAAGCCCCAGUCCACAGUUUUGUAAAGCCUCUGUGUUUCCACCUGUAUGAUUUUUCGUCUCCAUUUUUCGGUGUUGCCCAAUCGAGCCUAAAGAAUCGACACUCGUCUUUUUCCCCCCUUUCGACGUGCGCUGUGAAACGCAGUAGAGAAGUGAGACCGAGCCUCAACAAGCGUGCACACACCACGCCAGUGACCCUGUUUCCGUUCGACUGCCCGACAUCUGCCGUGCCGCAGAAAGGCAGAACCCGUUAACCUUUGAGAGGCGGGAGUAUUUGCACUUCAUCGCCGUUCCGCUCACCGGGACUGACGUACGAGCUUCUAAUUCGGUGUGUUUUCGCGCAUCCGAGCAGCCGGGUCUGGGCGCCGCGGUGUGCUUCAAGAAGUUUGGAAUUACAUCAAACUAGUCUGCUUGGCUGUGAAUGGCCUUCACAGAGGGCGACGACCAACCGAACACCCUGGCGACACGGAGAAGCCCACGCUUGGUGUGGGUUACACCCAAUAAAAACGUGGAAAUAGAGAGUUCGCGUUGCUCUCAAAGUCGACAAAACACCCAAAUAAAAGGCAGUAGCUAGAGUGUAUUUCUCUUCGACCGCUCGUGUGUAGUGGGCAGUGCCGGAAUGUUCAUACUCCACGUCAUUCGCCACGUGAGCAGGGCUGGCAGAAAAUGGGCGAGGUUCGCUUACACGUGUCGUGGGGUAGGGGCACGUAGGCUGACCACACCUGCGUGGACGAGCCCACGAUUUCAAACCGUUUCUAGACCUGCAACCUCCCAUAUCCUGCCAAGAUGUGUGAGACGUCUCAGCGAUGGCGGAUAGUUACACGAAAGCAG
rnacentral:lncRNA from 1 species